rnacentral:rRNA from 1 species
GACGUAGGGCGCGAGCGUUGUCCGGAAUUAUUGGGCGUAAAGAGCUCGUAGGCGGCUUGUCGCGUCGGAUGUGAAAGCCCGGGGCUUAACUCCGGGUCUGCAUUCGAUACGGGCAGGCUAGAGUUCGGUAGGGGAGAUCGGAAUUCCUGGUGUAGCGGUGAAAUGCGCAGAUAUCAGGAGGAACACCGGUGGCGAAGGCGGGUCUCUGGGCCGAUACUGACGCUGAGGAGCGAAAGCGUGGGGAGCGAACAGG